ensembl:lncRNA
AUGUAAGCCUGACAAGCUUCGUAUCUCCCAGAAAUUAAUCAGCAUUUCAGGCCCGUUGAAGAGACCUUUCUAGUUUUUGCUGCUCCUGCAGAUAAGUGUCUUAAAUUCUGGCUCAUUUCUUUGUUCAGUUCAGUGUGAUGUUGAGAGGAGGAAACAGGUUAUGUGGCCCUUCAGAGAAGGACAUGCAGUCACAUAAGAAGUAUAGAAAGCUCACAGUUUUGCAUAUUAUUGAAUGAAAAAUGAAGGACAAUCUAUGUAACUGCUACAUAGAGCUUGCUAAAGUCUCCUCUUCAUGGUUUAAAUAGUUCCAUAACCAUUCAAAAGCCCCACUUGUAAUAAAGAACACUCCUUGGUAGAUAAAUAACUCCA